rnacentral:rRNA from 1 species
UACGUAGGGUGCGAGCAUUGUCCGGAUUUAUUGGGCGUAAAGAGCGUGUAGGCGGCCAGGUAGGUCUGCUGUGAAAACUCGAGGCUCAACCUCGAGACGUCGGCGGAAACCAUCUGGCUAGAGUCCGGAAGAGGCGAGUGGAAUUCCUGGUGUAGCGGUGGAAUGCGCAGAUAUCAGGAGGAACACCAAUAGCGAAGGCAGCUCGCUGGGACGUUACUGACACUGAGGCGCGAAAGCGUGGGGAGCGAACAGG